rnacentral:lncRNA from 1 species
ACAAUACAAAUCAGAUACAGACUCUUAAGACUCUAGAAUUUCUAAGAUAUGAAAGUUGAUAAGAAAUUCUAAGUGAACUUUUGAUUGCAGAACAAUUUCAGCAGAGUUUUGGCUCUUGUAAAUUGUUGUUGACUCCUUGCCAAUCUCUAAGUCUUCACUCCUUUAUAUAGAGGUGUGAAAGAGACAUUGUGAAUUGCCAGCACAUCAAAAUAGAGUCGUUUGAAGCUU